GAUGAAGAACGUAGCGAAAUGCGAUAAGUAAUGUGAAUUGCAGAAUUCAGUGAAUCAUCGAAUCUUUGAACGCACAUUGCGCCCCCUGGUAUUCCGGGGGGCAUGCCUGUCCGAGCGUCAUUACAACCCUCAAGCUCAGCUUGGUGUUGGGCCCCUCCGCCCCGGCGGGCCCUAAAGUCAGUGGCGGUGCCGUCCGGCUCCGAGCGUAGUAAUUCUUCUCGCUCUGGAGGUCCGGUCGUGUGCUCGCCAGCAACCCCCAAUUUUUUUCAGGUUGACCUCGGAUCAGGUAGGGAUACCCGCUGAACUUAAGCAUAUCAAUAAGCGGAGGA
rnacentral:misc_RNA from 1 species